GAUGAACGCUAGCGGCAGGCUUAAUACAUGCAAGUCGAGGGACAGCACAGGUAGCAAUACUGGGUGGUAACCGGCAAACGGGUGCGGAACACGUACACAACCUUCCUUUAAGUGGGGGAUAGCCCAGAGAAAUUUGGAUUAAUACCCCGUAAUAUAGUUGAAUGGCAUCAUUUGAUUAUUAUAGCUACGGCGCUUAAUGAUGGGUGUGCGGCUGAUUAGAUAGUUGGCGGGGUAAGGGCCCCACAAGUCUACGAUCAGUAGCUGAUGUGAGAGCAUGAUCAGCAACAGGGGAACUGAGACACGAGCCCGACUCCUUCGGGAGGCAGCAGUAAGGAAUAUUGGUAAAUGGACGAAAGUCUGAACCAGCCAUGCCGCGUGAAGGAUUAAGGUCCUCUGGAUUGUAAACUUCCUUUAUUUGGGACGAAAAAGGGUCUUUCUAGAUCAACUGACGGUACCAGAUGAAUAAGCACCGGCUAACUCCGUGCCAGACGCCGCGGUAA
rnacentral:rRNA from 1 species